AGGACGAACGCUGGCGGCGUGCUUAACACAUGCAAGUCGAACGGAAGUAAGAGCUUCGGGUUUUACUUUAGUGGCGAACGGGUGAGUAACGCGUGGGUAACCUGCCUCAUACAGGGGGAUAACAGUUAGAAAUGACUGCUAAUACCGCAUAAGCGCACAGGACCGCAUGGUCUGGUGUGAAAAACUCCGGUGGUAUGAGAUGGACCCGCGUCUGAUUAGCUAGUUGGUGGGGUAACGGCCUACCAAGGCGACGAUCAGUAGCCGGCCUGAGAGGGUGAACGGCCACAUUGGGACUGAGACACGGCCCAAACUCCUACGGGAGGCAGCAGUGGGGAAUAUUGCACAAUGGGGGAAACCCUGAUGCAGCGACGCCGCGUGAGUGAAGAAGUAUUUCGGUAUGUAAAGCUCUAUCAGCAGGGAAGAAAAUGACGGUACCUGACUAAGUAGCACCGGCUAAAUACGUG
rnacentral:rRNA from 1 species